rnacentral:tRNA from 1 species
GCUCUUGUGGCGGAAUGGCAGACGCGCUAGACUCAAAAUCUAGUCCGUAAUGGGUGAGGGUUCGAGUCCCUCCAAGAGUACCA